CUUCCGGCUCAGCCUGGCACAACUCGGCCUGCCGCCCGGCCAGCCGCCGUGCCUUCCUGCAGAUGCUGGGACUAGAGACGGGAGAAUCACGAGGAGUAUGGAGGCCAGGGACUUUCAGGAGGUAGAAAACUCAUCGAAGACAAUAAGCUCAUGCAUGGACAUUCAUGGAGUACGCUCAGGGUUUUUGGGAUCCACCAGACUUGAGUUU
rnacentral:lncRNA from 1 species